rnacentral:rRNA from 1 species
CCCUUAGAGUUUGAUCCUGGCUCAGGAUGAACGCUGGCGGCGUGCCUAAUACAUGCAAGUCGAACGAAUCUCUUCGGAGGUGAGUGGCGAACGGGUGAGUAAUACAUAGGUAACCUGCCCCUGUGCGGGGGAUAACAGGAGGAAACUCCUGCUAAUACCGCAUAGCCAUGAGCACCGCAUGGAGCUCAUGCCAAAUAUCCUUUCGGGGAUAGCGCAGGGAUGGACCUAUGGCGCAUUAGCUUGUUGGCGGGGCAACGGCCCACCAAGGCAACGAUGCGUAGCCGGCCUGAGAGGGCGGACGGCCACAUUGGGACUGAGACACGGCCCAGACUCCUACGGGAGGCAGCAGUAGGGAAUUUUCGGCAAUGGGGGAAACCCUGACCGAGCAACGCCGCGUGAGCGAAGAAGGCCUUCGGGUCGUAAAGCUCUGUUGUAAAGGAAGAACGGCGCAUACAGGAAAUGGUAUGCGAGUGACGGUACUUUACCAGAAAGCCACGGCUAACUACGUGCCAGCAGCCGCGGUAAUACGUAGGUGGCGAGCGUUAUCCGGAAUCAUUGGGCGUAAAGAGGGAGCAGGCGGCCGCAAGGGUCUGUGGUGAAAGACCGAAGCUAAACUUCGGUAAGCCAUGGAAACCGGGCGGCUAGAGUGCGGAAGAGGAUCGUGGAAUUCCAUGUGUAGCGGUGAAAUGCGUAGAUAUAUGGAGGAACACCAGUGGCGAAGGCGACGGUCUGGGCCGCAACUGACGCUCAUUCCCGAAAGCGUGGGGAGCAAAUAGGAUUAGAUACCCUAGUAGUCCACGCCGUAAACGAUGGUCACUAAGUGUCGGGGGUCAAACCCCGGUGCUGCAGUCAACGCAAUAAGUGACCCGCCUGAGUAGUACGUUCGCAAGAAUGAAAC